ensembl:processed_transcript Sox2ot SOX2 overlapping transcript (non-protein coding)
CAAACCUGACAGAUUUCUCCAGAACAGUGGCCAUCCAUGGGAUGAGUGAAAGCCUCUUUCUAUUCCA